rnacentral:tRNA from 1 species
GCCGGCGUGGUGAAAUUGGUAGACGCGCUAGACUCAAAAUCUUGUAUCCGUGAGGAUGUGUCGGUUCGAGUCCGACCGCCGGUA